rnacentral:lncRNA from 1 species
CAAACAGUGCCCAGAAAAUUAGCCAGCCAUUUGGGAAAAAGAAUGCUAGCUCAAGAGAAAAAAUUUGACCAUAGAGCUGCAGGCUUGCCACUGUGAUGCUGAUGUGAAACAGCCUAGUCUGAACUUCUUUGACAGCACAGACAACUCCACUGAUCGAACAAGAGGAAAGGAACAAUAGCCUGGAGCCUAUUCAAGUAAACCUGAUUAGAAAUACCAUUCAACUGGGCCAGGUGCGGUGGCUCACGCCUGUAAUCCCAGCACUUUGGGAGGCCAAGGUGGGCAGAUCACGAGGUCAAGAGAUCAAGACCAUCCUGGCCAACAUGGUGAAACCCCAUCUCUACUAAAAAUACAAAAAAAAAUUUAGCUGGGCGUGGUGGUGCGUGCCUGAAAUCCCAGCUACUCGGGAGCCUGAGGCAGGAGAAUCCGGAAGGCAAGACAGCAUCUCACUCUGUCAGCCAGGCUGGAGUACUCACUGCAUCCUCCACCUCCCAGGCUCAAGAGAUCCUCCCACCUCAGCCUCCUGAGUAGCUGGGACCACAGAUUGGGAAGGCCACUCAUACUCCGGCGGUAUCUGGAGGACCUCCGGGAAGACGGCAAGGACAGCACUUCCGAAAU